rnacentral:rRNA from 1 species
UACGUAGGCAGCAAGCGUUGUUCGGAGUUACUGGGCGUAAAGGGUGCGUAGGCGGCUUUUUAAGUUUGGUGUGAAAUCUCCCGGCUCAACCUGGAGACGCCACUCGAUACUGCCAUGGCUAGAGUCCGGUAGGGGACCACGGAAUUCCUGGUGUAGCGGUGGAAAUGACGCAGAUAUCAGGAGGAACACCGGUGGCGAAGGCGGUGGUCUGGGCCGGCACUGACGCUGAGGAGCGAAAGCGUGGGUAGCAAACAGG